rnacentral:rRNA from 1 species
AGUGAACGCUGGCGGUAGGCCUAACACAUGCAAGUCGAACGGCAGCACAGUAAGAGCUUGCUCUUACGGGUGGCGAGUGGCGGACGGGUGAGGAAUACAUCGGAAUCUACUUUUUCGUGGGGGAUAACGUAGGGAAACUUACGCUAAUACCGCAUACGACCUACGGGUGAAAGCAGGGGAUCUUCGGACCUUGCGCGAUUGAAUGAGCCGAUGUCGGAUUAGCUAGUUGGCGGGGUAAAGGCCCACCAAGGCGACGAUCCGUAGCUGGUCUGAGAGGAUGAUCAGCCACACUGGAACUGAGACACGGUCCAGACUCCUACGGGAGGCAGCAGUGGGGAAUAUUGGACAAUGGGCGCAAGCCUGAUCCAGCCAUACCGCGUGGGUGAAGAAGGCCUUCGGGUUGUAAAGCCGUUUUGUUGGGAAAGAAAAGCAGCAGGUUAAUACCCCGCUGUUCUGACGGUACCCAAAGAAUAAGCACCGGCUAACUUCGUG